rnacentral:tRNA from 2 species
CCAUAUGUUUAUAAAGGAUAAAUUUACGGACUUAAAAUCCCUCGUCCUUUGGACGUGCCGGUUCGAACCCGGUUCGGGGAACCA